rnacentral:lncRNA from 1 species
AGACGAGGUUUUGCCAUGUUGCCCAAGCUGAUCUCGAACUUCUUGGCUCAAGUGAUCUGCCUGCCUUCCAAAGUGCUGGGAUUACAGGCAUGAGCCACCAAGCGCAGCCAUGAUUUAUUAGAUCACUUCUAAAAGCCGCUCUCUCCAUCUCCAAGCCAGCAAGUGCUUCUUUGCACCCCAGCUCUAAAACAAAGCCCUUGGGGACACAAUCAAAGACAGUAGUUGCCAAGAGGAAUAGGGAGCAUGGAAAGAAGGUGAGAUAUUGUUGGCCUUAACAGCAUCUGGGCUCCCACUCAGUGAGACGUGCUGGAUGUGCAUACAGCUAACCUGGUAACUCCAAACUGGAUGAGCUCAUUCCUUGAGACUGGAAUUACAAAAUUGGAACAGCUCACUAAUAAUUGAAGAUGAUUUGGGAAAACCAUUAUCCUUCCUCAGGUUUUACAAGGUUUUUAUGACUCAUUUAUAAGGUCCUACAGCUAAAAAAAAUCAUGCUGUAUUUCAGAGAAGUUUAACUUGAAAAUAUUUUUUUCACUAAUUAAAAAUUAACCUGUGACAAAUGAAAAUGGUUUUCCU